rnacentral:rRNA from 1 species
GAUGAACGCUGGCGGCGUGCCUAAUACAUGCAAGUCGAACGAAACUUCUUUAUCACCGAGUGCUUGCACUCACCGAUAAAGAGUUGAGUGGCGAACGGGUGAGUAACACGUGGGCAACCUGCCCAAAAGAGGGGGAUUAACAUUGGGAAAAAGGUCUAAUACCCCCUAACCAUAAUUUACGCAAUGUAAAUAUGUAAAAAGUGGGUUAUAUACCCCCUUUGGAUUGGCCCGCGGCGCAUUAGCUAGUUGGUAGGGUAAAGGCUUACCAAGGCAAUGAUGCGUAGCCGAAUUGAGAGGUUGAUCGGCCACAUUGGGACUGAGACACGGCCCAAACUCCUACGGGAGGCAGCAGUAGGGAAUCUUCCACAAUGGGCGAAAGCCUGAUGGAGCAACGCCGCGUGGGUGAAGAAGGUCUUCGGAUCGUAAAACCCUGUUGUUAGAGAAGAAAGUGCGUGAGAGUAACUGUUCACGUUUCGACGGUAUCUAACCAGAAAGCCACUGCUAACUACGUG